CUCAACUAUGAUUUUAAAUUUGCCGGUGAAAAGAGGUUAUUUGAUAUUAGCUCGUUAGAUGAAUGGAGAACCCCAUCUUAUGAAAAUGCCAAGUUGUUUAAAGAAAAAGUUAAAAUAUGGCAUGAUAAAAGAAUUCAAACACGGGAAUUCAAAGUGGGUGAGUAUGUUCUAUUGUACAAUUCUCGUUUAAGAUUCUUUGCAGGAAAAGUUCUCUCUAAAUGGGAAGGACCGUAUAUCAUCGAAGAAGUCUAUCGUUCUGGAGCUAUUAAGAUUAAUAAUUCCGAAGGCACUAAUGCGAGGGUGGUCAAUGGACGAAGAAUUAGCAUUAUAUCUCAG
rnacentral:rRNA from 1 species